GACGAACGCUGGCGGCGUGCUUAACACAUGCAAGUCGGACGGAAAGGCCCUGCUUUUGUGGGGUGCUCAAGUGGCGAACGGGUGAGUAACACGUGAGUAACCUGCCCUUGACUUUGGGAUAACUUCAGGAAACUGGGGCUAAUACCGGAUAGGAGCUCCUGCUGCAUGGUGGGGGUUGGAAAGUUUCGGCGGUUGGGGAUGGACUCGCGGCUUAUCAGCUUGUUGGUGGGGUAGUGGCUUACCAAGGCUUUGACGGGUAGCCGGCCUGAGAGGGUGACCGGCCACAUUGGGACUGAGAUACGGCCCAGACUCCUACGGGAGGCAGCAGUGGGGAAUAUUGCACAAUGGGCGGAAGCCUGAUGCAGCAACGCCGCGUGCGGGAUGACGGCCUUCGGGUUGUAAACCGCUUUCGCCUGUGACGAAGCGUGAGUGACGGUAAUGGGUAAAGAAGCACCGGCUAACUACGUG
rnacentral:rRNA from 1 species